rnacentral:rRNA from 1 species
CSSSRKUGGUKGSMRGUUAAAAGCUCGUAGUUGGAUUUCGGGUGGGGUGGUGCGGUCCGCCUCUGGUGUGCACUGCUCCGCUCCACCUUCCUGCCGGGGACGGGCUCCUGGGCUUCACUGUCUGGGACUCGGAGUCGGCGAGGUUACUUUGAGUAAAUUAGAGUGUUCAAAGCAGGCCUACGCUCUGAAUACAUUAGCAUGGAAUAACACGAUAGGACUCUGGCCUAUCUGUUGGUCUGUGGGACCGGAGUAAUGAUUAAGAGGGGUAGUCGGGGGCAUUCGUAUUCCGUUGUCAGAGGUGAAAUUCUUGGAUUUACGGAAGACGAACAUCUGCGAAAGCAUUUGCCAAGGAUACUUUCAUUGAUCAAGAACGAAAGUUGGGGGCUCGAAGA